CACGUAGUUAGCCGUGGCUUUCUGAUUAGGUACCGUCAAGACGUGCACAGUUACUUACACAUUUGUUCUUCCCUAAUAACAGAGUUUUACGAUCCGAAGACCUUCAUCACUCACGCGGCGUUGCUCCGUCAGGCUUUCGCCCAUUGCGGAGGAUUCCCUACUGCUGCCUCCCGUAGGAGUCUGGACCGUGUCUCAGUUCCAGUGUGGCCGAUCACCCUCUCAGGUCGGCUACGUAUCGUUGCCUUGGUAAGCCAUUACCCCACCAACUAGCUAAUACGGCGCGGGUCCAUCUAUAAGUGAUAGUAAAACCAUCUUUCACUUUAGAACCAUGCGGUUCUAAAUAUUAUCCGGCAUUAGCCCCGGUUUCCCGGAGUUAUUCCAGUCUUAUAGGUAGGUUACCCACGUGUUACUCACCCGUCCGCCGCUAACGUCAAAGGAGCAAGCUCCUUAUCUGUUCGCUCGACUUGCAUGUAUUAGGCACGCCGCCAGCGUUCAUCCUGAGCCAGGAUCAAACUCU
rnacentral:rRNA from 1 species